CAGUCGCCGCGGGAAUACCGAGGAUGCAAGCGUUAUCCGGAAUGAUUGGGCGUAAAGCGCGCGCAGGCGGAUCAGUUAGUCUGUCUUAAAAGUUCGGGGCUUAACCCCGUGAUGGGAUGGAAACUGCUGAUCUAGAGUAUCGGAGAGGAAAGUGGAAUUCCUAGUGUAGCGGUGAAAUGCGUAGAUAUUAGGAAGAACACCAGUGGCGAAGGCGACUUUCUGGACGAAAACUGACGCUGAGGCGCGAAAGCCAGGGGAGCGAAUGGGAUUAGAUACCCCGGUAGUCCCUGUCUCUUAUACA
rnacentral:rRNA from 1 species